rnacentral:rRNA from 1 species
AGUGAACGCUGGCGGUAGGCCUAACACAUGCAAGUCGAACGGCAGCACAGUAAGAGCUUGCUCUUACGGGUGGCGAGUGGCGGAUGGGUGAGGAAUACAUCGGAAUCUAUUUUUUCGUGGGGGAUAACGUAGGGAAACUUACGCUAAUACCGCAUACGACCUACGGGUGAAAGCAGGGGAUCUUCGGACCUUGCGCGAUUGAAUGAGCCGAUGUCGGAUUAGCUAGUUGGCGGGGUAAAGGCCCACCAAGGCGACGAUCCGUAGCUGGUCUGAGAGGAUGAUCAGCCACACUGGAACUGAGACACGGUCCAGACUCCUACGGGAGGCAGCAGUGGGGAAUAUUGGACAAUGGGCGCAAGCCUGAUCCAGCCAUACCGCGUGGGUGAAGAAGGCCUUCGGGUUGUAAAGCCCUUUUGUUGGGAAAGAAAAGCAGCAGGUUAAUACCCCGCUGUUCUGACGGUACCCAAAGAAUAAGCACCGGCUAACUUCGUG